UACGCUGUGACCAGGUUUGAAUGUUUUUUUGGUGUGGAGUUUUAUUAAGCAAAUCUCAGAUGUUCAGAGUAAUAGUUAAAAAUGAAAUACAUGACGACGAUAAUAUACACUCUAAUUAAAAUCAUGCUUCUUAGAUUCACUGUGUAGACGGCGCUGAUCUAAGAAGUCUGAUUUUAAUUAGAGUGGUAAAUAUGGGGGUAUCACUAUUUCCAGACAAUCUGGAAGAUAGGCUUAGGUUGUAAUGAAAGUGUACUUGAAACACCUGUUGUAAACACCCAUGCGGCCUCUUCCAAGGUCAUUUAUAAAAAGAUCAUAAAAAAAAUAAGGUAAUGACGUAGUAAAUAUUCAAGAAUGUAAAUUUAUGUAUAUGAUCAGUGCCAUUUUUAGCAACAUUUGUAUAAUCAAUAGCCACAAUGGAAAUAUGGUUCUAUGUACAGCAUAAGUUGUCAUAAAUGCUAUACGUAUUGGAAUCGUUCUCAGUGUAUGGUGAAACCUGUUGAUUCCGUAGUAUAGAAUUGAUUGCCACGAUUGUCGACAUCUUGUUUCAUGUAUAUAUUCUUUUGGACUACAUGUAAUGCUUGAUUUGAUAAGAGGGAAAUAACUUCGAGCAAAUAUUUCCAGCACAUCAUGUAAUCAGGAUCUUAGCCAUUGAUUUACAAAUCUGAAUUGAGAGAAAGAGGCUUACGUCCUCAGAUUUUUUUCACAAGGUGCAAUGACGGACACGAUUAACAGAUUGGAAUAUGACUGGAGGGCUCAGGGACAGCCUAAAUUCACUCUUCUUAUGCUGUGGAGAUGUUUCAAGCUAGCCUGCCGUGUACUUAUAAUGACGGUUAUUAUCUUAGACGUUCCCUUCGUAGCACAAAAAAUCCUUGCUGUUAUGAAAGGCAGGCGAAAGAAGAACCCUAAGGCAGAGAAUAUCAGAGUAACGUUUUCUUACAAGACGAUAACGACCGAAUUAAAAAGUUACGGCACUGAGAUUUUCCGACGUUCCGCCAUUGUCGGCAAAGUGGCACCAAAUUUGAAACUUGUGGACGUACAGACGGAAAACGUGAUGAAAUUGUUAGAUUUCCAGAAACCUGGAAGGCCUCUGAUUGUCAACUUUGGUAGCUGUACCUGACCUCCGUUCAUGAUGAGGUUUGAGAUGUUCACGCAAAUCAUGGCUGAUUUUUCAGACAUCGCGGACUUCGUCGUUGUUUACGUCAGAGAGGCGCAUCCCGUUGACGGAUGGAGCAUUUUAGGCUCCAAAUACUCUAAUCUUUCCUCUCACACAUCUCAGGAGGAACGAUUAGACGCCGCUCGACUGCUGUUAGAUGAGGGUUGUUCAUGUCCAAUACUCAUUGACACCAUGGACGAUGCUGGCGCCAUCCAAUACGCCGCCGUUCCUGAAAGGUUCUUCAUACUUUAUAACGAUAUCAUUCAGUAUGCAGGGCAAGGCGCAGGACCGGAAAACUACAAACCUGAAGAUGUUGGGCAAUGGUUGACCAAUUAUCGUCUUACAAAAUAAUAGGUUAAGCAUAAUUUUAUCUUAUGACGAUCCUUUUUGCAUAUAUAUAUAGCAAUUGAAGCCCGAACCCGAUCUUUUGUUAUGCGUACAUUACAACCAGAACACAUUAUUGAAAUCAACUUGUUAAUGAGAAAUCUGUGGAAAUAAUGCGUCAGUGAUGUUGAUGGAAAAAGAAAUGCAACUUCUUUUCUUAAUACUCGGUUAAAUCUGGCAUAAUGAAUGAAACGAAUGAACUAGCCUUCAAAGGGGGUUUGGAAAGGCGCGCAUUCUAAGUAAAUCCACGUGGUAUAUGGCCUUGAAAAACUUUAUGCCAAAUCGAAGUUUUAAACAGAAUACAGAUCCAUUUAGGAAUAUCGCGAUUUUCUUAAGUUGACGGAGAUAAUGCAAUUACUUUUGAGUAGUCUUACAAAGGGACACUAUGAGGUGGCAUUUUGAUGCUCCGUUCAGCUUGCCAGCACCAUGUUACUCAACACCUACUAUGGGGUUGGAAAUCGACACUCUCCCGUUUCGUUAGUUGAUGUAGGGUUACGGGUAGAUUAGGUGAUCAUCCACUGAUCGGAGGAUCAUACAUCAGGACAAGGGGGGGGGGGGGGGGGGUUAGUUAUGUUUUAUUGGAUGAUGUAAUGAGAUAUCAGUUCAGGCAUCCUUAUACGGGUCCGUAGCUCACCCCUAUAUUUCAGCUACAAUAUUCACAUGUACAUACACUAAAUCUGUGAAUCAUGGCUCGCUGAAGACACGUGUAAAUAAAUGAAUCUUAAAUUACAGGUUUAAAGGACAACAAUGGAUGAAUCAAUUAAAUGCUUGUGGAGAACAUUAGUUUUGGGGGAGGGUUUGAUAUUGUUUUAGGGGGUUCUUUUGGACAUAGAUAAUCCAUUCAGGGUAAUUUACAUUCCCACGGUCCCCAUACAUCACGUGGUACUAUUGAUCGAGGCAGGCAUCCUGUACACUUCAGUAACAUCAAUCGAUAGUACACUGUGUUACAAAGUGUAAUAUUCGGUAGCGGAUCUAGAGGGAGGUACUGGGGUUGACCUCCUUUUUUUCCAGGGGGGGGGGGGGGUAACAUAAACUGGUACCCCUGUUGACCUCGCUUCUCUCGAGUUCAUGUGUAGCACCAAUCAACGGGAUACCAGACUAACGUUAUUGGGUAACAUAAUGGUAGAGCGUAGUAAUAUCCACUGAAGUUACCGCAUUUACAGGGCAUUCGUGUAAAAGCAGGGAAAAGUUUAAAUCCGUAAUAAAAUUCAUCUAAAGAAUAAAAAAGUAUUGACGAAACAUACCAAACAUAUCAUUUUAAAUGAGUCAUUAUAUUUCUUUUUCCGUUAAAAGCAUCAAAGUAAAGCAUCGCAACAGCAUCUAAUUUAGUAGUGAUGACCUGUAUCUGAAAAAUUGUGAGUCUCCGUCUACAACCCCGUGGUGGGUCCUGUUUUACACAUAUCGUAUUGUAAGUUUCCGUCUACAACUCUUGAUUGGUCUUAUUUUACACAGAUCUUGUUAUUCGCCUACAAUAUCGUGAUAGGUCUUGUUUUACACAGAUCUUGUUGUGAGUCUUUUAUCGGUCUUGUUUUACACAGUUCUUGUGAGUCUCCGUCUACAGGCCUGUGAUCGGUCUUGUUUUACACAGUUCUAGGGUAUGACGAUGGUGUUUGAAAGUGUAAAUGAAAACUAAACGUCAUCUGAUGUAUAGAAAUUGGACUGUUUAAAAGCAUAAUGAUUAUAUGGCUGGUAGGGAGACUCUAUUGAUGAAAUAAAGGUAACAUAUUAAAUGAUA